UCACAACACAAUUGCCUUAAAGAUUGGCUCAAUUUUCAAUAAUCCUGCAUUUGCUAUUGGGGAAAAUAAUCUCGGUGAAGGAAAAUGUUGUAUCUUACAGCUACUGAACUGAAGUAAAUAAGAUGGAAAUGGGAUGUUGUACUCUUUGAAGAUAACUGAUUGCUGUUCAGUGACAAGACUCAUUCAUCAUUUCCACUUUCCACUGCAAGCUGCUCAUGGAAUCCCACACUGACCAGCUAUACAGAGGGUCAAGAGAUGUUCCUGGAUCAGUGUCAGUACUUGAAGAACAUAUGUGAACAGAUCAUCCUUCAGGGACAAGAGGCUUUGCAGAAGGAUCUACUUAUAGUACCUUGGAGAGUUGGACAGUCCUCAAUAGCAUGAAGUUCAACAAAGGAAAAUGCCAGGUUCAGCACCUGAGAUGGAGUUAUGCCAGACACAG